AACGAACGCUGGCGGCAUGCCUAACACAUGCAAGUCGAACGAGACCUUCGUGUCUUGUGGCGCUCGGGUUGGUAGGGCGUCGGAAGCUUCCCUUAUGUUCGGAAUACCUCUCCGUCAUGGGUGCUAACACCGGAUAACGUCUUCUAACCCAUGAUUGCUCGCCUUUGGAUGGGCGUGCGUUGGUUUAGCUAGUUGGUAGGGUAAUAGCCUAUCAAGGGGUCGCUCGGUAGCUGGGCUGGGAGGAUGGUCAGCCACACUGGGACUGAGACACGGCCCAGACUGGUAGGGGAGGCAGGGGAGGGGAAUAUUGGACAACGGGGGAGAGGCAGAGCGAGCGACGCUGGGUGAGUGAUGAAGUGGUUAGGGUUGUGAAGCUCUUUUACACGGGGUGAUAAUGACGGUACCGGGAGAAUAAGCUCCGGCUAACUACGUG
rnacentral:rRNA from 1 species